UUCUAACCCUAAAUACAUGAGAGACUGGUCAGGGGGAAAGUUGUAAAGAAACUGCUGUCACCAGGGAAUCCGUACUCCUGAUGGUUGGUUGCUCAUGGCGAUAUGGAGCUCAAGGAAUCAGGAAAAAAAAAACUUCCUUUAGCAAAAUCUUUUUUAAAAAAAUACUAUUUAUCUAACUGGGCAGAGGGAAGAGGGCACCAAUAGCCUGAGAAGCCAGGUUUCUCCUGGUAUUAUGUGGAUUUCAGGAACUCAGGUCAUCAGGUUUGGUGGCAAGCACCUUUUCCUACUGAGCCAUCUUGCUGAGCCAGCAAGGUUUUUAGCAUAGCAUUUUUCAGAAGGAUUUUCUAAGUGUCCAUAUGUGGGUUUUUGUUGCUGUUUUGGGGGUUUUGGGGGGGGGAUUUUUUGUGUUUUUGUUUUUUAUUUUAGGCUUAACAAUGAGCAGUUCAAAACCAAGCAAAACUAUUUAUAUGUAUUAUACUUGGGCAAAAUAUGAGAAGAAAGAGUGUGGAAUAUAUAACACUUAUGAAGACAAUUGAGCUAUGUGGUAAAUCACAUGCACUACACAUAGAAACCACAGUGCAUUAUCACCCCAUAUUCACUGGAAUUAAAAAGUUUGUGGUAAUAGGUUAAAAUCAGGAUCCUCAAACAUAACUAGUGGGAUGUAAAAUGGUCCAGCCACUACUUUUUUAACAUUUAUUUAUCUCGUGUAUGUGAAGAUCAGAGGACAAGUCGCAGUCACAUGCAUGUGAGUCCCAGGAAUCAAACCCAGAUAUUUGAGCUUAGCAACAGGUGCCACCGUCCUCUGAGCCAUCCUGCUGGUCUAACUAGUCCCUUUGAAAAAUUGACCAUCUAUUAAACAGAAUUAUCAUAAAAUUCAGUGUGCUCGCUCUCUCUCUCUCUCUCAUAUGCACACGCACACACAUACACAUCUACUUUAAUCCUCAACACAUACAUAUACAAAAUCUUCACACACAUCAUACAAAAACCUAUUUCACAAAACCCAACAUUGUUUGAUGAUAAAAACAAACUUCAAAGAUGAUUUCCUGAAUCUGACAAAGUCAGAAAAACCUACUGCCAACAUUAGGUUCUACUUAAUGAUAGAAAAUAAAAACAUCCCUUUGAUCAGGAACAAGUAUGUCUGCUCUCAUCCUUCUAGUAAACGUUCUCCCAUUGGUUCUAGCCUGGAAAGUUGGUUGCAGACAACAUGUUCAAAUAUAUAGAAAAUUCUAGAGGGUGUACUAAAAUAUUUCUGCUAAGGUAUCAGUUCAGCAAAGUUGCAGGAUACAUAGUCAAUAUAAGAAAGUAAGUUGUAGGGAUGGAGAGAUGACUCAGUGGCUGAGCAAGUGCCUACUGCUCUUGAAGAGGGCCCAGGUUCAGUUUCCAGCACCUACAGAACAACUCACAAUUGCCUGUAACUCCAGUUCCAAGAAACCCAAUGCUGCCUUCUCUCCUUCUCAGGGUCACACAUGUACAUGGUACACCGAACAUAUAUGCACAAUAAACAAACAUUUAACACAGAAAAAUUGUAUUUCUGUAUACAUAAAAAUAACAAAAGCAUCCAAUUUGGAAUAGCAUCAAUAUGAAUACUUAGGAGUAACUAGCAAAAGAAUGUUUCAAUUUUCACUCUGAAGACUACAAAAUAUUGAAUUAAAAAACCCAAUAAAAGAAAAGAUAUAUCAUAUUCAUGGGCAGAAAGAUCUGAUAUUCUAAAUAUAGACUAUCCCUGAGAUGUUUGCAGAUUCAAGACAAUUGUAGUCCAAAUUUCAAUGAUAAGAUGCUUGCCUAGCAUGGGGCAGUCAGAAGCGUUAGGGAAAAACAAAACCCAUCUGACUUUUUCACAGAAAUUCACAAGCUAAAAUCCUAAAAUUCAAAUGGAGUUUUAGAGUGAUCAGAAAGAAAUAUGACUGUUAGUGCGUAAACAUAGACACAUAUCUGUGGCUUAGGGUUGGAAAUCAGUUGUGUUACCCGAGUGUCAGCAUCGGGGACUGGACUUGGAGCCUUGCCCGUAUUAAGCUCUACUGCUGAACUACAUCCUCACCCCUGGUCUUACUUUUUUUUUUAAUUUAAUUUUUAAGAAAUUAGAAACUAAACUUAAAAAAAUGAAAUGUAUUAAUAAAUUAAAUUUAUUCUUUAGAAAUUUCAUACACAACUACAGUGCAUUUCCAUCUUAUUUACUCCUACCCACAUUUCUUUACCUAAUUCCUCCCUGACCCCCACCCCCUUCCCAGUCCACGUUUUCUUUGUAAUAUAUUUUCUUUUUCUUUUUCUUUUUCUUUUUCCAACUCCAAUCUCACUGAGUUGUACAGACUGACCUGUCACUUGCCUUAUCCCAAUCCCUGGGUAGUUGUGGAAUUUACAGGCGUGUGACACCAGACCUGGUGACCCAAUUGAUUUUCAGCAACAGUGCCAAGGCAAUUCAAAGCAGCGGCUCUGCCACUGAGCUACAUCACAAGGUUGCCAAGGCAACUCAAUGAAGAAAUUUCAAUGAAGUCUUUUCAAUGGGGAGGUGCUCAAUACCCAACCAGCCUGAGCUGUUCUAUAAGCCAUAGGUCCCAGUGAGAGACCAUGUCUCAAAAGCAAAAUAGAUUGCUCCUAAGAAAUAAUACUUAAGACUCCCCUCCACCUGCAUGUGCACACAUAUGUAUGUUCACACAUCCUCACACAAAUUCAUUUGCAUAUACACAAUAUACACAAAGAACAAUCCUUCCAUCAUAUAAUGCCAAGUCAACCAGAUAAUCAUGUACUAAAGUUGGGAUGUGCCUUAUAACAUAUAUAAAAUUAAAUCAAACCAUAUAAAAGUCUCUUUGUAACCCAGUGAGAUAGCUCAAGUAUCUCUCACUGUUGAGAGUUUGUUAGCUGGGGACCACAGAGUAGGAGAGAAGUGACUCAAACAGGUUCCCCUCUGACCCCAUACUGGGCACUCACACACAUAUCC
rnacentral:lncRNA from 1 species